AGACUUUGAUUCUGGCUCAGAUUGAACGCUGGCGGCAGGCCUAACACAUGCAAGUCGAGCGGUAGCACAGAGAAGCUUGCUUCUUGGGUGACGAGCGGCGGACGGGUGAGUAACGCGUGGGAAUCUACCUGGUAGUGGGGGACAACAGUCGGAAACGACUGCUAAUACCGCAUACGCCCUUUGGGGGAAAGUGGGGGAUCUUCGGACCUCACGCUAUCAGAUGAGCCCGCGUCGGAUUAGCUUGUUGGUGAGGUAAAGGCUCACCAAGGCGAUGAUCCGUAGCUGGUCUGAGAGGAUGACCAGCCACACUGGGACUGAGACACGGCCCAGACUCCUACGGGAGGCAGCAGUGGGGAAUAUUGGACAAUGGGGGCAACCCUGAUCCAGCCAUGCCGCGUGUGUGAAGAAGGCCUUCGGGUUGUAAAGCACUUUCAGCUGUGAGGAAAGGUGAGUGGUUAAUACCCGCUUGCUGUGACGUUAACAGCAGAAGAAGGACCGGCUAACUCCGUGCCAGCAGCCGCGGUAAUACGGAGGGUCCGAGCGUUAAUCGGAAUUACUGGGCGUAAAGCGCGCGUAGGUGGUUCAGUCAGUCAGAUGUGAAAGCCCCCGGGCUCAACCUGGGAACUGCACCUGAUACUGCUGAGCUAGAGUACGGUAGAGGGUAGUGGAAUUCCUAGUGUAGAAGGUGAAUUUC
rnacentral:rRNA from 1 species